CCCAAGCACGUUCAUGACCAAAUAGGAUAAAUAAAUAGUUAAAUUUAGCCCAAAAGCCCACAAGCCCACUAUCAAACCCUAGCUUAUUUACUAACCCACGCAGCCCUUAUCCCACACAUACACAUAUUAGGAUUUCCACCUAAUCUGCGCAACAUACCCAGAAUUAGGGUUUUCAGAAGGCGGCGCAGGUCGGCGGCGGUCCAGACGGCGUCGGCGCCAUCGCGACGGCGGUGAAGGAGGCGCUCCGAUGGUGCGACGAGAUUGGAUGAUUUAGAGUUUAGGAAAUGGUAGAAAUUGAGAGAGAUGAAAUUUUUUCAUGUAAGUCUGAGUUCUAUGGUUUUUUUUUUAAAUACGUACUGAAAACGUAUUAAAUACGUAUUUCCCAAUCCUAAAAUUAUUUUUUUUAAAUACGAAAAAAAAACAUAUUAAAUACGUCUUUUAGGCGUAUUUUUAACGUCUUGGUAUUUUUUGGUAUUAAUACCAGGACGCUUCACCCAGAAACGUACCGGUGCUUCCUAG
rnacentral:lncRNA from 1 species